GAGAAAUGAAGGGCAAUAGGCAAGGAAGACGGGAAAAGAAAACGAGUCCCUCUAUCAAGAUCAAAACAAAACGGUGUGCCAACAACUAUUCGCGGCAACAGAGGGUAAACAGAACAGGGAAAAUCAAAUAGAAUAAAAAAUGAAAUCGGAAUCUUGUCUAAAAAACAUCGGGGGCGAUAAGUCGUCGGUCGAGUGGCAACAAAAUAAACACAAAGAGGAAAAACAAAAUACAGCAAUUAAAAGAUUAACAAAGCACGGCGGGAGCAACAACAAAUAACCGAGAAAUCAAAAAGAACAGAACGAAAAUGUUUUUUAUGCGUUUUAAAUUUCCCAAGCGAUGAACAGCACAAAAAAAGUGCGUAAAAACAGAAUUGACCUUCAAAACUGUGUUGCGCAAAAUAUAAAAAAAUCGAUGUGAUAAUCGUUCCGAUCCGAUGCAAUAAAAACAUUACCUAUUUCACCUUCGCUUUA